rnacentral:sRNA from 1 species
GCCGGGCAUGGUGGCACAUGCCUGUAAUCCAAAGGGCUUAGGAGGCUGAGGCAGGAGGAUUGCAAGUUCAAAGCCAACCUCAGCAACUUAGCAAGGCCGAAACCAACUGAGCGAGACCCUGUCUCUA